CGACAAGUCAUUAUGAGGGGAUGUGUUCUUCUGUUCAUUUUACUCUUGGCUGGUCUUACCUCAGGUGAUUCUCACAAGAGAAUCCUUGGAGGGGAACCUUGCAAUGACAAUUAUGCUAAGCACUAUGUGAAACUCAAGGUCACUAGAUGGAUGGACGCUUUAGAAAAUUGCUGUCACGAGAAUGUGGUGGCUGUCUUAUUCAUCUUACAGCUGAGCACUGCACUAGCUUUGGGAGUACUAUAACAGCGACACUGGGUGCACAUCCAGGUGGAACACCUAAACCAGAAGAGGUCCAGAUUCCUGAUGAAACAUUAUAUAGAAAGACCAGUCAUGACAUCAUGCUGCUGAAGCUGCCUAAGGCAUACCCUCAGUUCACUACCAUUCAGCUUCCUCCCUCUACAUGCAAGACACCUGAGUUGAAGGAGAAUGUGAGAAUUGCAGGCUGGAGUUACACAGAAGAUGAUACAAAGCCAGAGAAACUACAGUGUUAAAAAUCAAGAGACCUCCAAGUCACUGAGUGUGACACCACAACGGAUGCUGAGAUUAAUAUUCAAAUGUGAUUCUGAGCAGCAUGGAAGAUAGACGCCUGCCAUGUUAGACUGAUUUCAAUUGACACGCUUACAAUUCCCUGCCUAGUUCCAUAUCAUUUCUGCCCCAAAAAUAACAGUGGCGGGUGACUAACUUAUUACAUUUCCUUUACAGUAAAAGUCAAUCGAACAACCUUCAUAAGCUUUUAUCAUUACUUUACCAAAUGAAGAGUCUAUUACUGAAUAAUGUGAUUAGUGCUGU